CAGACGACUGCAGCCGAAGAGCCAGCUCUCCGUACGUGAGGAGCUGUGCCCAGCACGCGUGGUCUGGGAGCAGGAGGGAGGCAGCAUCUUCCCAGCAGUGUGAGCUGAAGGCAUCCAGAGCAGUGGAAUGUCAGAAAUGCCUAACAAAGAAAUAUGCUGUUUAUCCUGAAGAAAGGAAUUCUAAAUGGCAGGAUAACAAUGAGACGAUACCAGUUCGCCAAUAAAUAUCUGGAGGCAGCAGUUAACAGUGCACCAGGUUCCAUGUGUGGUAGCUUGGAAGUUCAGAAAAGUUCAGUGGACCCUGAAUAAUACAAGAAACAUCAACAGGAGUAAACGGAGAUCUGGAAAAUUAGGGGAAAGAAGAGAUGCUACAGUAAAAGGUCCAUCAAGCACUAGAAGAUCCUGGUUUGCCAUAUCCCUCCUCAAGGCAUCCCUGAUUCUGAUACCAGCAUUUCAGCGUUGACCUUGAAUGAGAGUUUUAAGAUGCCUACCAGCAAGACCUCCCAAGAACCUUUGGCCUACACCUUCCUCCAAAUCUUACGGCACAGAAGAAAUUUUGCAAGUCCAGCAAAAUAUCAAGGAAGAUCAGAUAGAUGGAUGACCUGGCUCAUUCAGAGAAUUGAAAAAUUGGCUGACAUCCUUGGGACAGAAAUGGGACAAACAUGAUACCAGAAGACCAAGAAGUGCCAGAGUGAGCUGGCAAAUAGAAUACACCGGAGCUGGGUAGCAGAGAAGAGAAACCAUGAAAGGUUGACUUCAAUGGGAAUGUUCCCUGGCAAAGGUGAAGAGCUGACCCAGAAAGGUUUGAGCGUGUUUCUGAACAAACUGAAUUAUCUUUUACACUUCUCAAACAUGGGUUGGUAAAAAAAGUGCAGAAGUUUAGCUCCAAGACCACAUCUUUGAGUUAAACUAUUUUAUGAUAUUCCUUAAAAAAAGCCCUUCUAUUUUACAUCCAAAAUGAAGUGAAAUGUUAAACUCUAAAUGUAAAAAAUGACUGUCUUUAACCCUGCAUUUUGUAAAUCUAAUGCAUUACCCCUGGCAGUUGCUCACCGUUUGGGUUUUUAUCAAUUCUAAACUAAUUUUUCUAAUAACUAAUUAACUAAUAAACCUCUUUUCAUGCAACCCUUUUGAUCCCAUUUUUACUUGCACCUCUUUUCACAGUAAGAACACCUAUUUUCUAAGCAAUUGCUUUAAAGUUUGGCACUUACACCUUUAUUUCAAAGUAUUUAUAAUGAACACAAAUACUGCAAUCUAAAUGAGGGUAUGGUACAAAUUGUGUUUGUUCAUGAAUUAUGAAGACCUGUUUCUUCUGCCAAUGCUAAACUGUCUUCAUCCUGGCUUUAUAAUGUUCUUAUAAGUGAAAAUAUCAUUUUCAUUAUUCCGAAAUAUUUUUAAGAUACUUAAAUUAUCACAUCUUGUUUAGGAUUAUUUGAUCACUAUUGUUUAUUUCGAGCAGCACCUAAAAACCAGUUUUGAAAACUGCUGACGUAUUGGUAAUAUUUGGGCAUAUUUCCGAAUACUGUCCCUAUUUUUUUCUGAUGUAAACUAUUCACUAAAUCUGAAUUAAUUGUUGUCAUUUCUCUUGUUUCCUACAAAUCUUUUCUCUGAAAAGUUCAUAGAGCAAAUGAGCAAGCAGUAAUUUUUAUCUGUCUAAUGCUGGUAUCUACAGUCCAUAUGUUGAUAUUAGAAUGUUAAGAGAUUGUUUUAAUGUAUUGACUAAAUUCAAUAUGGAGAAGUUAAUUAGUUAAUAACCAUUUAUCCAAAUAGAAAAAUAGCCAACAUACAUGUCAUUUGUCAUGUUUUAGUAUUUAAAUACUUUUCACUACAA